rnacentral:rRNA from 1 species
ACGGGGUGCAGCAGGCGCGAAAACUCCGCAAUACACGAAAGUGUGACGGGGGAACCCCAAGUGCUCUCGCGCAAGCGAGUGCUUUUGUGAAGUGUAAAUAGCUUCGUGAAUAAGAGCUGGGUAAGACCGGUGCCAGCCGCCGCGGUAACACCGGCAGCUCGAGUGGUAAUCGUUAUUAUUGGGCCUAAAGCGUCCGUAGCCUGUUUGAUAAGUCCUUGGGCAAAUCCUGCCGCUUAACGGUAGGAAUUCUGGGGAUACUGUCAGACUUGAGGCCGAGAGAGGUCGGAGGUACUUCUAGGGUAGCGGUGAAAUGCUAUAAUCCUAGGGGGACCACCAGUGGCGAAAGCGUCCGACCAGAGCGGGCCUGACGGUAAGGGACGAAAGCCAGGGGCGCGAACGGGAUUAGAUACCCCGGUAGUCCUGGCCGUAAACGCUGUGGGCUAGGUGUUGCAUGCUCUACGAGGGCGUGCAGUGCCGAAGAGAAGUUGAUAAGCCUACCGCCUGGAAGUACUAUCGCAAGAU